AUCUGGCUUAGUUAGGAGGCACAUAAAAAUUGGUUUUUUUUAACCAUCUUAGGCCUUUUUGAGGGGGCAUUAUGCUAUAUAGCCAUAUGGUGUCCUCCAAGCAGCCUUAGAUAUCU